UACGUAGGGCGCAAGCGUUGUCCGGAAUUAUUGGGCGUAAAGAGCUCGUAGGCGGCCUGUUACGUCUGCUGUGAAAUCUCGGGCUCAACUCCGAGCUUGCAUUCGAUACGGGCAGACUAGAGUGAUGUAGGGGAGACUGGAAUUCCUGGUGUAGCGGUGAAAUGCGCAGAUAUCAGGAGGAACACCGAUGGCGAAGGCAGGUCUCUGGGCAUUAACUGACGCUGGAGGAGCGAAAGCAUGGGGAGCGAACAGG
rnacentral:rRNA from 1 species